ensembl:lncRNA
CAAAUAAUAGGCAUAAAAGCAUGCAUAAUUUGAAAGAAUCAAAGUAAAACAGCUUUUUAGACAAUAUUUUUUUAUUAUGUUUUGCAGUCCUGAUGAAAUUAUAUGAAUUAAAAAAACAGAACAAUUAACAUUUGAAGAGGUAAUUUUAUCAGAGUGUACUGCAUUAAAACUUAAGUUGCUGCAUUUCUAGUGCUGUUUUAAAUGAUGGAGUUAGAAAAUCUGAAGACCUCAAAUAAGCAAAAUGUCCUAUUUCAUUUUAUCAAACCUAUAUCACCGUGAAAAAGUUUAAGUUCAGAGGGACUAAAAAUGCAGUUUCCUUGAAGUAAUUUCAAAUCAAGCAAGAAAACAAAAAAAGGAUAUCCUCAGUGCUGAGGAAAGUAUUUUAUUUUCUUUAUGGGUCAGUGGAAUUAUACAAAGUUGAUAAUUACUUAAUUCUGAAUAUCUGACUCUUGCAUGCAUAAGAUUUAUUGCAGCAUUUUCGUUAGAUUUACUUUGUGAAGACUGAUUUCAAGCUAGAUUGAAUUAAAAUUGAUAUGGUAACAGGAGUAAAAUCAAGAUAGGAAUCAAAAAAGUUUGUGGAAAAAAAAGGAAAAGAAAAAAAAAAACCUUCAGUUUUAAUUGCAGGAAGUAUUUGAAGAGCAUGAAGAAUUGCAGAACCUGACAUAAAUUUGAAGUCAUUCAAAUUAUUGUAUUUGAGCAAGGAAGAUUUGACUCUCAAAUGGAUAGCUGUUUCUGUCAUGGAGACUUUUUUAUUGUUUGAAGUUCUUUGAACAAUAUCUGUGAUAUCUUGUCUGUAGACCCUCUGAACACAUUAGCCACAGUCGAAACAACAAAUAAAAAUAUCAACAGUGUGAUAGUGAUAUUAGAAGAAAAUAAGCCUAUUUAGUAAUCUAUAAGUCAUCCCAUGAAUAUCAGAACUUCUGAAUCUGGAUAUCAAAAUAUUCUUUCAAGGUCCACUUUUCAUAAUUCAAUGCCCUAUCACAAUAAGUUAAUCUGAAAUGAUCAAAGCUAAUUAGCUUUUAAUUAUUAUACAAUGGAAGCAUAUAUGCUUCACAAGAGAGAGUGAAAACUGAAUACGUGUAAAUUCAAAAGUGUAGUUUGCAAACUAGAAGCAGAAAAGCAAUCUCAACAACAACAACAGGAAAGCUUUUAUUGCUGCUGAAGCAUUUGGAUAAUGCAAAAAUUCCUUAAUUCUUUCUAUUUAUUAAUGGCUGUCUUCCAGGACACUUAAAUAGCAGAUAUUAUAUACCUUGUGUCAUAAUGAUUUGCAGAUUUAGAAAUCACAGGUAUUAUGAGGGAAGUCUUAGUGGUUUAGAAAGUUGCUCUUGCUCUUUGCUUUCAUUUUAUUAUUCUGCCUCCCAGUUUAUAAGUAAUUGGUAUGAUUGCACCAAGGCAAGUACUCCUCAGCUAUUCAGGAUGGGAAUAAUGAUGUAGCUAGCAUUCAGCAGCUCUGGACUGCUCCAUCAUGGUUCAACUACAAACAUCCUUCAAGAUAUCCUCAACUGUGCGUGAAGGAAUAGUUUUUCUGACUUCUGCUCUAUGUACCCUAGUUAA